CCUGACUGUCGCGAGGACAAAUGGGAGCCCAGGAGAGGACGGUAGAAUGGCUAGCGGUGAAGUGACAUCGACAUUCGGGUAACUGGAAAUGCCUGCCACCCGUUUGGAAGAUUUAAUGGCCGGUUUUAGAAGGCCUCUGUAUACAAUGUGAAAAAACUGCUCUCAGCAUUUAAAAGAAGAUUUGCUGCAUGUGGACAAUAUAGGUGGAAAGACGUUGCCAACGUAUGACAAAGUAGUUAGAAAAACCGCACGCCUUGGAAAAGCCCGUUUGUUUAAAAAACUUGACAAAAAGCGUCUUCUGAAAGUGACUCUGAAAUGGAGCUCAUUAGACCAUCUGAAGAAGCACUAGGAGUGAUACUUGUCCACAUUUGUACCUUGGCUUAGAGGACACGGAGCAGAAGACAGAAAAGAACCAGUACCACACUCGCCACAUGAAGAAGAAAUGUUUUUAGGAAGAACUGUCUUCUGGAAGUAACCUUUGCUAAAGCCACCUCUUGGAGCUAGAUGUGGUCCUGACUUUGUCACUGAAGUGGUGAAGAAGGAAAAGGGUGGGUGAGAGUGAAACAAUGCAAAACAGAGAAGAA